CCAGAUCAAGUGAGUGUCGGAGGUUGUGAGUUGCCCUGCCAUGGGAUGGCCUCCUGUCCAGCCCCGGUUCCCACCGUGUGUGCCCUACCCUCCCGGGACCAGCUUCAACCACCUGCAACUCAGAGCUGGAAUAAUAAGAACGGAGGCAAUCAUACUUCCACUCAUCUCCCAUGCAGACAGUUCAGAAUGAAUGAGAAGGACAUGCAAAUGGGAAGAAGAAAGAGAGCCCACGGUUGUUGAGCCUACAGGACAUUCUCAAACACUGAGAAUAGGAAGACUGACAAAGAUCAUUUAGGAAAUUUGCCUGGGAUCUUCUUGUGGGCCUACAUACUCCCCAUUGUCACUGCAAUAGAGCCAGGAUCCAGCCCAGUGCCUGGUCAGAAGAAGCUCCAUUAGUGCUUAAGAACUGUAUUCAAUUGGAACUUUCAACCAAUUCAAUAUGGUCACAACGGGUUGGCUCCUAGUAAGCUGCUCAGUAAGUGUUUCUUCAGGUGACGUUGGCAAAUGAAAGGCAGUAAGGCCCAGUGAUUUCAGAUCCAGACUGUGGUACUCAGAACCAUAUAAUCCUGGGGUCAAAUCUCAGCCUUGCUUGCUUCUUUCUGCGUGCCCUGAGCCUCUCCCCUGUAGAGAACCUAUUUCACAUUGUUGCUAUGAAAAUGACAUGAGAUCAUGAAUGUGAAAUUUAUCAUAGUAUUGCUCAUACUACUACCUUGGGCUGGGAACUAUUCCUGGGCUUUCUCAUUUAAUCCUCUUGCAAUUCAAAGAGGAAGGCGCUCUUAACUGCCCCACUUCUUACAGAUUAAGAAGUUGAGGAACAAGGGCUGGAGCGGUGUCUCCAAGGUCACGAAGCUAGUAAGAGUGGGUAUAGAUCGCAGAUGCAGUGGCUGGUCUUAACCGUUAAGGGAGAGCUACGAAGUCCCACGUGUGGACAGUAAGUACUCAGUAAAAGUACACUGUUACUGUUACUGCUGCUGCCAUUGUGCUGGACAGCCGGGGAAAGUGAGGGGCAGAGAACUUGAGUCCCCAUAGCUACUCCAUAACAGAGCCAGAACCACGGGUGGCUCCAACAUUCAGAUCUGGGGUACCAAGCCUUGUUGCUUGUUUCUUAACUGCUUUCUCCAAGGCCUGCCCUGGGCAGCCACACCCAGAGUUCUCACGACACCCUGGAGCUCUUGCCACCCAGAAGUUCUUGCCACACCCUGCCUGCUCCCGGAAGGUAACAGGGCCACUGAAGAAGGGCUGCAUUGUUGUGGCCUUAGCCUUGGCCCUGAAGGCCAGGAGGACAAACACUUUGGCUUGUAAGUACUGCAAAUCAAUAAACAGUAAAACUCAGAAUAAAUGCCCUCUUGAACUUCAACUGACCUCAACUCCAAGCUGGCUGGUCCUGAGGACAAAUACCCAGGAACGUGAUUCCAGGAGAGAAUACUUCUGCAUGGCAUCCAGUUGCUACCUGGCAGGAGGGUGUUUGCCUUUGAGAGAGGUGGGGGCAGGGGUAUCAAAUUCUCCUGGGGAAGACAGGAAGUUUGCCAGCGCCACCCAGAGCAGAAAAAAAGUGUGGCAGUAUCAAUAAAGAUGACAAUAGCAA
rnacentral:lncRNA from 1 species